rnacentral:rRNA from 1 species
AGCAACAGCCAUACUACCCUGAACAAGCCCGAUCCCGUCUGAUCUUGGAAGCUAAGCAGGGUCGGGCCUGGUUAGUAGUUGGAUGGGAGACCACCUAGGAAGACCAGGUGCUGUAGGCA